rnacentral:rRNA from 1 species
GAUGAACGCUGGCGGCGUGCCUAAUACAUGCAAGUCGAGCGAACAGACGAGGAGCUUGCUCCUCUGACGUUAGCGGCGGACGGGUGAGUAACACGUGGAUAACCUACCUAUAAGACUGGGAUAACUUCGGGAACCCGGAGCUAAUACCGGAUAAUAUAUUGAACCGCAUGGUUCAAUAGUGAAAGACGGUUUUGCUGUCACUUAUAGAUGUAUCCGCGCCGCAUUAGCUAGUUGGUAAGGUAACGGCCUACCAAGGCAACGAUGCGUAGCCGACCUGAGAGGAUGAUCGGCCACACUGGAACUGAGACACGGUCCAGACUCCUACGGGAGGCAGCAGUAGGGAAUAUUGCGCAAAGGGCGAAAGCCUGAUCGAGCAACGCCGCGGGAGUGAAGAAGGUCUUCGGAUUGUAAAACUCUUUUAGUUGGGAAGAACCAAAGUGUAAGUAAACAUUGCCGUUUUGACGGUACCUAAAGAAAAAGCCCCGGCUAACUUCGUG